GGAUUGUAGUUCAGUGGUAGAGCACUUGUCUAGCAUGUAUGAGGCACUGGGUUCAAUCCUCAGCACCA
rnacentral:tRNA from 1 species